UCCAUUAGAAUUCCUUUCAUCAGACUUGAUGAUUUCCUUUCCUUUUUCCCUAAAAAACCCUAGCAUUAGGGUUUCCAAUCUUCCCACAGCAGUCUCAAUUGCAAUUUUAUUCUCGGCAGCAUCUUUCUUGAUUCCUUCUUGUAACUUCUUGAAGUCCUACUUCAGAAUUUCCAUUUCCUUCCUGGUCUCCCGAGAUUCCCCUUGCAACAGAUCCAACCUUUCUUCCAUUUGUGCCAUCUUAACAGCAUCUUGACCCACCACUGCUGAUUUAGUCAUGAUUUGCGACACCAAGGAACCAGAUUGCAGAUGAAUCUACCCAGUUUUCAGGCUCUGAUACCAAAUGUUAGGUAGAAACCCUAACAAUAGUUAUUUCAGAGUUGAAAUUAAGAGAACAGAAAAUUAGAAGAAAAAGAGAGAGUGUCGAGAAUUGUAAGAAAGAAGAUAAUAUUUCAUUGAGAA
rnacentral:misc_RNA from 1 species